CAGGAAAUAGUUUAAUAAGAAUAUAAGCUUUGGAAGCUUACGGUGUAAGUAUUUAUUUUCUUGA
rnacentral:tRNA from 1 species